GACGAACGCUGGCGGCGUGCUUAACACAUGCAAGUCGAACGGUGAAGGGACCAGCUUGCUGGUUCUGGAUGAGUGGCGAACGGGUGAGUAACACGUGAGUAACCUGCCCCCUUCUUCUGGAUAACCGCAUGAAAGUGUGGCUAAUACGGGAUAUUCUGGGUCUGUCGCAUGGCGGGCCCGGGAAAGAUAUUGCUUCGGUGGGGGAUGGGCUCGCGGCCUAUCAGCUUGUUGGUGGGGUGAUGGCCUACCAAGGCGGUGACGGGUAGCCGGCCUGAGAGGGUGGACGGUCACACUGGGACUGAGACACGGCCCAGACUCCUACGGGAGGCAGCAGUGGGGAAUAUUGCACAAUGGGCGCAAGCCUGAUGCAGCGACGCCGCGUGAGGGAUGGAGGCCUUCGGGUUGUAAACCUCUUUCGCCAGUGAAGCAGGCCUGCUCCUUGUGGGUGGGUUGACGGUGGCUGGAUAAGAAGCGCCGGCUAACUACGU
rnacentral:rRNA from 1 species